rnacentral:rRNA from 1 species
AAGCCAGUGGUGAACUCCACAUACGCAUCCUUUGCUGAGGAUACGGUUAACGGAGCGAAAGCGACGUUCAACCGCAAAAGAAGCAGAGGGGGCUUAGUGGUGGGGUGACUGCGUACCUUUUGUAUAAUGGGUCAGCGACUUAUAUUCUGUAGCAAGGUUAACCGCAUAGGGGAGCCGCAGGGAAACCGAGUCUUAACCGGGCGUUAAGUUGCAGGGUAUAGACCCGAAACCCGGUGAUCUAGCCAUGGGCAGGUUGAAGGUUGGGUAACACUAACUGGAGGACCGAACCGACUAAUGUUGAAAAAUUAGCGGAUGACCUGUGGCUGGGGGUGAAAGGCCAAUCAAACCGGGAGAUAGCUGGUUCUCCCCGAAAGCUAUUUAGGUAGCGCCUCGUGAACUCAUCUUCGGGGGUAGAGCACUGUUUCGGCUAGGGGGUCAUCCCGACUUACCAACCCGAUGCAAACUGCGAAUACCGGAGAAUGUUAUCACGGGAGACACACGGCGGGUGCUAACGUCCGUCGUGAAGAGGGAAACAACCCAGACCGCCAGCUAAGGUCCCAAAGUCAUGGUUAAGUGGGAAACGAUGUGGGAAGGCCCAGACAGCCAGGAUGUUGGCUUAGAAGCAGCCAUCAUUUAAAGAAAGCGUAAUAGCUCACUGGUCGAGUCGGCCUGCGCGGAAGAUGUAACGGGGCUAAACCAUGCACCGAAGCUGCGGCAGCGAACGUAUCACUUAAAGCGAUUCAGCGGGUUACGAUUGACGGAGCGAAGCGACGUCAAAGCGUAUACAAAGUCGAGUCGGUUUAAGGAUACGUUCGUUGGGUAGGGGAGCGUUCUGUAAGCCUG